CUUUUGCUGCUGCUGCUGCUGCUGCCGCUGCUGCUGCUGCUGCUGUUGCUGCUGCUGCUGCUGCUGCUGCGGGAGAGCCGCAGCAAAACAGGCGAGUGAGUUAAAGUUUGACUUCUAUGGAAGCUGUGUGUCCCCAACUAGUAAGGAUCUGAGCUGCUGCUGCUGUUGCUGCUGCUGCUGCUGUUGCUGCUGCUGCUGCUGCUGCUGCUGCUGCAGACACGCUCGGGCGGAACAGCCGUUGGGGCCCCACAGCCAACGCUGCGGCGGCAGCAGCAGCAGCAACAGAAAUAGCAGCAGCAGCAGCAGCAGGUGCAGCAGCAGCAGCAGCAGCAGCAGCAGCAGCAUUUAUUU
rnacentral:sRNA from 1 species